rnacentral:tRNA from 1 species
UAGAUAGAAGCCUGUUGGUUAGGGCACCUAGCUGUUAACUAGGAGGAUUUAUGGGAUCGAAGCCCAUCUAUCUAG